GCUGGGCGUGGUGGCGCACGCCUGUAGUCCCAGCUACUCGGGAAGCUGAGGCAGGAGAAUCGCUUGAACCCGGGAGGCAGAGGUUGCAGUGAGCCAAGAUUGCACCACUGCACUCUACCCUGAGCGACAGAGAGAGACUCUGUCUCAA
rnacentral:SRP_RNA from 1 species